UUAAGUUCAGCGGGUAAUCCCACCUGAUUUCAGAUCAAGUGAUAAAGAGUUGACUGGGCCGAAAGACCCAGGGAGUUCCAUUUAGCUGAUAGGGAUAAUUUUGAAGCAGAUAAAUCUACCAAAAAGGUAACUACCAGUUGAAAGAAACUAGCCGAAUUUAAGCCGGGAAGUGGGCGGUGAAGCCCAGUCUCGAGGCCAAU
rnacentral:misc_RNA from 1 species